GAUGAACGCUAGCGGCAGGCUUAAUACAUGCAAGUCGUGGGGCAGCAGGUUUGUAGCAAUACAGAUGCUGGCGACCGGCAAACGGGUGCGUAACACGUACGCAACCUUCCCGUUACUGGGGAAUAGCCCAGGGAAACUUGGAUUAAUACCCCAUAUUAUAUUGGUCAGGCAUCUGACUAAUAUCAAAGCUUCGGCGGUAACGGAUGGGCGUGCGGUUGAUUAGGUAGUUGGCGGGGUAACGGCCCACCAAGCCUACGAUCAAUAGCUGAUGGGAGGGCAUGAUCAGCCACACGGGCACUGCGACACGGGCCCGACACCUACGGGAGGCAGCGGGAAGGAAUAGUGGGCAAUGGACGCAAGUCUGACCCAGCCAUGCCGCGUGAAGGAUGAAGGUCCUCUGGAUUGUAAACUUCUUUUAUCUGGGGCGAAAACCGGUUAUUCUUAGCCGUUUGACAGUACCAGAGGAAUAAGCACCGGCUAACUCCGUGCCAGCCGCCGCCGUAAAAC
rnacentral:rRNA from 1 species